CAUGCCUUACACAUGCAAGUCGAACGGCAGCAUGAUCUAGCUUGCUAGAUUGAUGGCGAGUGGCGAACGGGUGAGUAAUACAUCGGAACGUGCCCUGUAGUGGGGGAUAACUAGUCGAAAGAUUAGCUAAUACCGCAUACGACCUGAGGGUGAAAGUGGGGGACCGCAAGGCCUCAUGCUAUAGGAGCGGCCGAUGUCUGAUUAGCUAGUUGGUGAGGUAAAGGCUCACCAAGGCGACGAUCAGUAGCUGGUCUGAGGGGACGAUCAGCCACACUGGGACUGAGACACGGCCCAGACUCCUACGGGAGGCAGCAGUGGGGAAUUUUGGACAAUGGGCGAAAGCCUGAUCCAGCAAUGCCGCGUGUGUGAAGAAGGCCUUCGGGUUGUAAAGCACUUUUGUCCGGAAAGAAAUGGCUCUGGUUAAUACCUGGGGUCGAUGACGGUACCGGAAGAAUAAGGACCGGCUAACUACGUGCCAGCAGCCGCGGUAAUACGUAGGGUCCAAGCGUUAAUCGGAAUUACUGGGCGUAAAGCGUGCGCAGGCGGUUGUGCAAGACCGAUGUGAAAUCCCCGAGCUUAACUUGGGAAUUGCAUUGGUGACUGCACGGCUAGAGUGUGUCAGAGGGGGGUAGAAUUCCACGUGUAGCAGUGAAAUGCGUAGAGAUGUGGAGGAAUACCGAUGGCGAAGGCAGCCCCCUGGGAUAACACUGACGCUCAUGCACGAAAGCGUGGGGAGCAAACAGGAUUAGAUACCCUGGUAGUCCACGCCCUAAACGAUGUCAACUAGUUGCUGGGGAUUCAUUUCCUUAGUAACGUAGCUAACGCGUGAAGUUGACCGCCUGGGGAGUACGGUCGCAAGAUUAAAACUCAAAGGAAUUGACGGGGACCCGCACAAGCGGUGGAUGAUGUGGAUUAAUUCGAUGCAACGCGAAAAACCUUACCUACCCUUGACAUGCCACUAACGAAGCAGAGAUGCAUUAGUGCUCG
rnacentral:rRNA from 1 species